AUAAAAAACCAACGCCCUUCGGGGCUUCUUGGUGAUUCAUGAUAACUUUUCGGAUCGCAUAGCCUUGCGCUGGCGACGGUUCAUUCAAAUUUCUGCCCUAUCAACUUUCGAUGGUAAGGUAUUGGCUUACCAUGGUUUCAACGGGUAACGGGGAAUUAGGGUUCGAUUCCGGAGAGGGAGCCUGAGAAACGGCUACCACAUCCAAGGAAGGCAGCAGGCGCGCAAAUUACCCAAUCCCGAUUCGGGGAGGUAGUGACAAUAAAUACUGAUACAGGGCUCUUUUGGGUCUUGUAAUUGGAAUGAGUACAAUUUAAACCUCUUAACGAGGAACAAUUGGAGGGCAAGUCUGGUGCCAGCAGCCGCGGUAAUUCCAGCUCCAAUAGCGUAUAUUAAAGUUGUUGCAGUUAAAAAGCUCGUAGUUGAAACUUGGGUCUGGCUGGCAGGUCCGCCUCACCGCGUGUACUUGUCCGGCCGGACCUUCCUUCUGGAGAACCUCAUGCCCUUCACUGGGCGUGUU
rnacentral:rRNA from 1 species